CCAGGCAGUUGGUUUGGGGA
rnacentral:misc_RNA from 1 species